ACUGGUAGCUGCCAUACAGAAUAAUACCAAGACAAACCAGUAGGAGAAACAUGGUGUUAACAGUUUGUAAAAUAGCGAUAGUUAUAUUUUGAAAACAAAAAAUGCUGGAGAUCACAGCGGGUCAGGCAGCAUCCAUGGAAAGAAAGCAACAUUUCGAGUCGAGAUGACUCUUCAUGGUUAUAUAUUGAUCAGUCCCUGCAAGUUUCAAGUUCCAUAAAUCUCACAGACUCUAAAACUGUAUUUUGGACUGAUCUUCAAGUUAUCAAUCCUUCCGAUUGUCAGGAGACUGUGCCAGAAUUCUCAAUAACCAGGAAGAAUCAACUAUCAACACCUUUGAACACAUUUCCAUCAGAACUGACUUUGAAUCCAUGUCUCAAGAAGAGAAAAGAAUAGAACAAAGUUGUUCAACACUGGAUUUUGCCUGAUCCUCACCUGAAACCAGUGCAAAACUUAACCAGGUUCCACAAGCACAGUAUUCACCAAAAAUGACAUCCAUUUGUAGAACCUUCUCAACUCUGCUUCCAAAACUCUGGAUGGCAUAGAUCCACCAAUGUUAUCUUAAAGUAAUUGGUUACAUCACCUGUAUAUUUGCUUAUAUUAAAAUUGGAUUGAAUUGAAUUUAUUGUCACAUAUACCAAGGCACAGUGCAGUGAAAAGCUUUGCCUUGUGAGUGCAA